GGGGACCCGCAAGCGGUGGAUGAUGUGGUUUAAUUCGAUGCAACGCGAAAAACCUUACCUACCCUUGACAUGUCAGGGACUGGCCAGAGAUGGUUGGGUGCUCGAAAGAGAGCCUGAACACAGGUGCUGCAUGGCCGUCGUCAGCUCGUGUCGUGAGAUGUUGGGUUAAGUCCCGCAACGAGCGCAACCCUUGUCAUUAGUUGCUACGAAAGGGCACUCUAAUGAGACUGCCGGUGACAAACCGGAGGAAGGUGGGGAUGACGUCAGGUCAUCAUGGCCCUUAUGGGUAGGGCUACACACGUCAUACAAUGGCCGGUACAGAGGGUUGCCAACCCGCGAGGGGGAGCCAAUCCCAGAAAACCGGUCGUAGUCCGGAUCGUAGUCUGCAACUCGACUGCGUGAAGUCGGAAUCGCUAGUAAUCGCGGAUCAGCUUGCCGCGGUGAAUACGUUCCCGGGUCUUGUACACACC
rnacentral:rRNA from 1 species